CAUAAAUACUAAUUGGUUGCUAUGGUGAUCUCAAGCUUGUAACUAAAACGGAGGUAUCUAGGUAACAGUAUCUGAAGGUGAGAAUGAUGAAUGCUUCAACUCUGGAGUUUCGUAGGGAGAUGGUGCUGGAGUAUAAAAACUGGCAAAUGUAGCCUCAGCUCCAAAGGAUUGGUGGAUAUCUUUGGACCUCGCACACGAUAUAUGGGUCUUCUCUUUCUUAAUCCUGAGGCAGAUGAUGCUGCUGAGUAAAAUCGAAAUCACACAUCAAAGCAGAUUGAGACCACUCUAAAUUUGUGAUCACAAAACCUCAUCUAGGCCCUCAGUGCUGCCAAGAAGAACUUGAGAAGAUCCAACCAGUCUGUCAAAGGAGUAACAAAUUUGCAAAGGUGAGUUGAAAUAACAUGACACAUCUGGGACUGGCCUCAUUGACCUCUUUGGUAGUGGUGAUUCAUUAAGUGGUCACUUCUUGAGACAGCAAUAUCUGCUUGAACUGCUAUUAACAUUUUGAGACCUUACCCAGCUUCCUGUGCAGAGCUUGAAGUCUACUCCACGUUCAUCCAGUCAACAUGUUUUGGGGGACACACAUCACAUCCCAGACUCAAUUGCUAAAUAAAGAAUCAAGAUCUCGAACCAAACCUUUCUCCUUUCAGGAUGUUGUGUUAGAAGUGACAUACAGAUAACUUUUCGUAUUCUAUGUGAGCAUCAUUUUCCUUGUGAAAUGUCUUGACGCUCCUUUGGAUGCAUUUCUACCCAACACAGGAUCCCUCACGCACACACGCCUGAUAGACGUUCAUCCAAGCAUGUGCUUAACUGAAUUAACAAGGUUUUAAAAUUGAACAAAGGAAGUCUAGAUCUUAUCAAUCUUUUAGUGUGUAACAUAACUCACCUCUUCUCCCCCUUUCGUAAAUAUGAAGAAUUCAGCUAUAUGAAGAAUUACUUUUAUAACAUUUGAGUGUUUGUUAUGUGUCAGGUAAUUUAUCUCAUUCACAUAUCCUGGAAAUCUUGGAUAGUAGACUUUAUUAUCACCGAAUUAUAUAGGAGGAAUCCAAGACUCACAGGGCCUUCCACCAUACAGAACUUUUAAAACAUAUUUUAUUAAAAUCGCUUGUGUGUCUGUAGGUGUGAAUUAUAAUACACACACAGAAAAUCAUUAAAAAAGAUGAAUAGUUUUAUCACAAUAUGAUAGAUUUAUCACAAUGUAAACAUCUGCAUAAC
rnacentral:lncRNA from 1 species